AUAUAUGUAUACAUAUUAAAACACACAAUCAUAUAUAGACAGCGUUUCCCCUAUAUUCCCAAAUCGUUGCCGCCACUCCAACAAAUGAUUUAUUUCAUUUUCAGUGUAAACCAAAGACUAAAACCAAGUAAGUAGAAAAUAUAAUUGACCAACAUUUUUUAAAUAAGAUCAUCUUUGAGAACUAACAACCACCAAAAUAAAAACUAGACAGCCAGGGAGAAUCUGAAAUAAAAAAUGUCAUGCAUACUCCCAGUCGAUAUUCACGUCAUAAGAUCCCCUAGACCACGCCCACCAAUCAGUCUUUCCAAUUGAUUCCCCUGAAAAAGAGCCAACUUCUUCGUUGAUUUUUAAAUCAUACAGAAAUCGAAAAACUGCAAUGUACUUCAAACCAGGUCAAAAAUCCCCAAAACUCUAGUUUUGCUCUGCUCCCACAUAGGGAAAUAGAGCCUGUGGGCAGAGCCCUGUGGCUUCAGGCUAUUCGGCGUGGGAGAGUCAGGGAAUUGUGGGGACCCGGUGUCCAAGUACACGUAGCUAUGUGUGUGGAAAACAUUUCAUCACAGAGAAGUUCCAGGCGGGGGCAUCCAGGCCGUGGGAGUAGAAUAUAAAGUACUCUCCAGCAAGGUGGUACUGGGGAACACCAUCCCCAAACGACCAGCUGGACAGAGAGGCCCCUUGGUGGGGUCUCAGGUAGAGGGACAUGUGGCUGGGACCUGGGGGACGGACAUAGUCACACACAAUGCAUGUCACAAACUAUGGUUCCUAGACACUGCCUUUUCUCACACAACAUUUGGAGAGAGGGACAAGGAUUAGAGUAACGGAUCCUACAGCAGGUAGUGAUAGAGGAUUGGAUUAAUGGACCCUACAGCAGGUAGUGAUAGAGGAUUGGAUCCUACAGCAGGUAGUGAUAGAGGAUUGGAUCCUACAGCAGGUAGUGAUAGAGGAUUGGAUCCUACAGCAGGUAGUGAUAGAGGAUUGGAUCCUACAGCAGGUAGUGAUAGAGGAUUGGAUCCUACAGCAGGUAGUGAUAGAGGAUUAGAGUAACGGAUCCUACAGCAGGUAGUGAUAGAGGAUUGGAUCCUACAGCAGGUAGUGAUAGAGGAUUGGAUCCUACAGCAGGUAGUGAUAGAGGAUUGGAGUAAUGGACCCUAUAGUGCCUUCAGAAAGUAUUCACACUCCUUGACUUUUUCCAUAUUUUGUUGUGUUACUAAUUGUCAUUUUUCUGUCAAUGAUCUACUCAAAACACUGUCAGUGAAAAAAACAAUUCUAACAUUUGUAAAAAAAUAUUUAAAAAAAAUAUAUAUAUAUUUAUUUAUUUAUUUAUUAUAAUCCUGAUUAGAUAUGUAGUCAACCCCCUGAGUCAAUACAUGUUAGAAUCACCUUUGGAAGUCUAAGAGCUUUACACACCUGGAUUGUGCAACAUUUGCCCAUUAUUAUUUAAAAAAAAUGUUAUUCACUGCUCGACUGAGGGACCUUACAGAUCCUGUAAUUGUAUGCUUGGUGUACAGAGAUGGGGUAUUCAUUUAAAAAUCAUGUUAAAUGCUAUUAUUGCACAGAGAGAGUCUGUGCAACUUAUUACAUGACUUGUUAAGCACCUUUUUACUCCUGUGCUUAUUUAGGCUUGCCUUAACAAAGGGGUUGAAUACUUAUUGACUCAAGACAUUAUAGCUUUUAAUUUUUAAUAAUUCAGUAAACAUUUAGAAAAACAUAAUUCCACAUUGACAUUAUGGGGAAUUGUGUGUAGGCCAGUGACAAGCCAUCUCAAUUUAAAUUCAGGCUGAAACAAGAGGUGGGAGAAGUCAAGGGGUGGGAAUACGUUCUGAAGGCCCUGUAGAGGAUGAAGGGUCGUCAUUGUAAAAUAAGAAUUAGUUUUUAACUGACUUGCCUCGUUAAAUAAAGGUUAAAUUUUUUUUUAAAAAUACCAUGUGUUCAAUGUUCAUGUAAUCUCACCUUUGACUUCAAAUGUAAUCUUCACUGUGCCCCAUUUUGUCUGUUCUUUAGAAAGGACCUGAAACUCGAUGGGAGACUUGGGAAAGACUUCAGGGGCUGGGAGGUACCAGUUCUUCCUGAAAACAAGGAAAUUGACACAAUGCCGUUAUUUUGCUAAACCAGUCGAUACCUGCCAGACAUGUUUAAUAAAUAUAUGGUAUGUGCAUGA